GAUGAACGCUGGCGGCGUGCCUAAUACAUGCAAGUCGAGCGAACAGAUCAUGAGCUUGCUGCUCUCACGUUAGCCGAAGACGGGUGAGUAACGCGUGUAUAACCUACCUGUCAUUCUGGUAUAACUUCGGGACACCGGCGCUAAUCCCGUAUGAUCUCUUGAACCGCAGUGUUCAAUAGUAAAAGACGGCUUUGCUGUCUGUUAUCGCUGGUUCCGCGCCGGAGUGGCUAGUUGGUGAGGUAAAGGCUUACCAAGGGAACGAUGCGUAACCGACCGGAGAGGGUGAUCGGCCACACUGGAAGUGAGACACGGACCAGACUCCUACGGGAGGCAGCAGUAGGGAAUCGGCCGCAAUGGGCGAGAGCCUGACGGAGCAACGCCGCGUGAGUUAUGAAGGCCUUCCGAGCGUAAAACUCUGUUAUUAGUGAAGAACAAAUGUGUACGUAACUAUGCACUGCUUGACGGUACUGAAUAAGGAAGCCACGGCUAACUACGUG
rnacentral:rRNA from 1 species